rnacentral:rRNA from 1 species
AGCGAACGCUGGCGGCAGGCCUAACACAUGCAAGUCGAACGAACCUUUCGGGGUUAGUGGCGGACGGGUGAGUAACACGUGGGAACGUGCCUUUAGGUUCGGAAUAACUCAGGGAAACUUGUGCUAAUACCGAAUGUGCCCUUCGGGGGAAAGAUUAAUCGCCUUUAGAGCGGCCCGCGUCUGAUUAGCUAGUUGGUUGAGGUAAUGGCUCACCAAGGCGACGAUCAGUAGCUGGUCUGUGAGGAUGAUCAGCCACAUUGAGACUGAGACACGGCCCAAACUCCUACGCGAGGCAGCAGUGGGUAAUCUUGCGCAAUGGGCGAAGGCCUGACGCAGCCAUGCCGCGUGAAUGAUGAAGGUCUUAGGAUUGUAAAAUUCUUUCACCGGGGACGAUAAUGACGGUACCCGGAGAAGAAGCCCCGGCUAACUUCGUG